rnacentral:rRNA from 1 species
AACGAACGCUGGCGGCAGGCUUAACACAUGCAAGUCGAGCGCCCCGCAAGGGGAGCGGCAGACGGGUGAGUAACGCGUGGGAAUCUACCCAUCUCUACGGAAUAACGCAUGGAAACGUGUGCUAAUACCGUAUACGUCCUUCGGGAGAAAGAUUUAUCGGAGAUGGAUGAGCCCGCGUUGGAUUAGCUAGUUGGUGGGGUGAAGGCCUACCAAGGCGACGAUCCAUAGCUGGUCUGAGAGGAUGAUCAGCCACACUGGGACUGAGACACGGCCCAGACUCCUACGGGAGGCAGCAGUGGGGAAUAUUGGACAAUGGGCACAAGCCUGAUCCAGCCAUGCCGCGUGAGUGAUGAAGGCCCUAGGGUUGUAAAGCUCUUUCACCGGUGAAGAUAAUGACGGUAACCGGAGAAGAAGCCCCGGCUAACUUCGUGCCAGCCGCCGCGGUAAUAC